rnacentral:rRNA from 1 species
UACGUAGGUGACGAGCGUUAUCCGGAAUUACUGGGCGUAAAGCGCACGCAGGCGGCUGCUUAAGUCUGACGUAAAAUCUCCUGGCUUAACUGGGAGGGGUCGUUGGAGACUGGGUGGCUUGAGGCAACGAGAGGGGUGUAGAAUUCCCGGUGUAGUGGUGGAAUGCGUAGAUAUCGGGAGGAAUACCAGAGGCGAAAGCGACACCCUGGCGUUGAACUGACGCUCAUGUGCGAAAGCGUGGGGAGCGAACGGG